GACGAACCGUGCAAACGUUAUUCGGAAUCACUGGGCAUAAAGGGCGCGUAGGCGGCUUCCUAAGUCAGGGGUGAAAUCCGGCAGCUCAACUGUCGCAGUGCCUUUGAUACUGGGGAGCUCGAGGGAGGUAGGGGUCUGUGGAACUUCCGGUGGAGCGGUGAAAUGCGUUGAUAUCGGAAGGAACGCCGGUGGCGAAAGCGACGGACUGGAUCUCUUCUGACGCUGAGGCGCGAAAGCCAGGGGAGCAAACGGG
rnacentral:rRNA from 1 species